rnacentral:rRNA from 1 species
AUUGAACGCUGGCGGCAUGCCUUACACAUGCAAGUCGAACGGUAACAGGUCUUCGGAUGCUGACGAGUGGCGAACGGGUGAGUAAUACAUCGGAACGUGCCCGAUCGUGGGGGAUAACGGAGCGAAAGCUUUGCUAAUACCGCAUACGAUCUACGGACGAAAGCAGGGGACCGCAAGGCCUUGCGCGGACGGAGCGGCCGAUGGCAGAUUAGGUAGUUGGUGGGAUAAAAGCUUACCAAGCCGACGAUCUGUAGCUGGUCUGAGAGGACGACCAGCCACACUGGGACGGAGACACGGCCCAGACUCCUACGGGAGGCAGCAGUGGGGAAUUUUGGACAAUGGGCGCAAGCCUGAUCCAGCCGUGCCGCGUGCAGGAUGAAGGCCUUCGGGUUGUAAACUGCUUUUGUACGGAACGAAAAGACUCUGGUUAAUACCUGGGGUCCAUGACGGUACCGUAAGAAUAAGCACCGGCUAACUACGUGCCAGCCGCCGCCGUAAUAC